rnacentral:pre_miRNA from 1 species
AGAAAGUUCAUUCAGGUUUUUCUUUAACAGCUUGCUGAAAAACCGGAAUGAACUUUUUGG